rnacentral:rRNA from 1 species
UGAACGCUAGGCGGGAGGCUUAACACAUGCAAGUCGAGGGGCAUCGACGGGGUAGCAAUACUCUGGUGGCGACCGGCGCACGGGGUGAGUAACACGUUAUGCAACCUCGCCUCGUACGAGGGGAUAACCCGGAGAAAUUCGGACUAAUAUCCCAUAAUGAUAUUGAAAGGCAUCUUUUGAUAUUUAAAGCUCAGGCGGUACGGGAUGGGCAUGCGGAACAUUAGCUAGUUGGCAGGGUAACGGCCUACCAAGGCUGCGAUGUUUAGGGGGCCUGAGAGGGUUAUCCCCCACACUGGUACUGAGACACGGACCAGACUCCUACGGGAGGCAGCAGUGAGGAAUAUUGGUCAAUGGGCGCAAGCCUGAACCAGCCAUCCCGCGUGAAGGAAGAAGGCGCUAUGCGUUGUAAACUUCUUUUCCAGGGGGAGAAUUUUUCCGUCGUGACGGGAAUUGACGGUACUCUGGGAAUAAGCAUCGGCUAACUCCGUG